rnacentral:rRNA from 1 species
UGGGGAAUUUUGGACAAUGGGGGCAACCCUGAUCCAGCCAUGCCGCGUGCGGGAAGAAGGCCUUCGGGUUGUAAACCGCUUUUGUCAGGGAAGCGGUACCUGAAGAAUAAGCACCGGCUAACUACGUGCCAGCAGCCGCGGUAAUACGUAGGGUGCAAGCGUUAAUCGGAAUUACUGGGCGUAAAACGUGCGCAGGUGGUUGUGCAAGACAGAUGUGAAAUACCCCGGGUUAACCUGGGACUAGCAUUUUUGACUGCACGGCUAGAGUACGG